rnacentral:rRNA from 1 species
GUGAGUAGUUCAGAGUUUGAUCCUGGCUCAGGAUGAACGCUAGCGGCAGGCUUAACACAUGCAAGUCGAGGGGCAGCGUGAGGGUUAGCAAUAACCCUUGACGGCGACCGGCGCAAGGGUGCGUAACGCGUGAGCAACUUGCCCUUAUCAGGGGGAUAACCGGUGGAAACGCCGACUAAUACCCCAUGGCAUCACAUCAAGGCAUCUUUUUGUGAUUAAAGAAAUUCGGAUAAGGAUAGGCUCGCGUGACAUUAGCUAGACGGCGGGGUAACGGCCCACCGUGGCUACGAUGUCUAGGGGCUCUGAGAGGAAGGUCCCCCACACUGGAACUGAGACACGGUCCAG